GUUUCCACGGAAGGCUUCGAAUGCAAAUAUAAUGACUGGAAAACUGAGAGACGGGAAAAACGAAAGCGGCCGCUGCUCCUCAGAGCCGCCGGCCUGGUCUGUGGGAGGGAGGCCGUACCUGGAGGAGCAGGCCAGCUGGUGAAACCGCCACGCCACCGGACCACCCCGAAUCCUCCUCCGCCGUUCACGGAGACACAACACAAAGCUGCUGCUCCCGCGCCGCUCAUCAGGGCUUAACGGGAGCUGACCCCAUUUAAUGACGCAGCCGGUGGAUCUGGAGUGAGAAGAGAGAAGCUCCCACUCCCACUCCCACUCCCACUUCCACGCGGCCUCGUCCAGGAAGCAGGGUCUCAAAGACCCGUCCCCAGCGGAGCCACUCAAACAGUCAGUGUGGUGGAGCUGACAUCUGGCCAGGCCGGUGAACGGACCCGGCGCUUCCCGAUCGCCCCCUCCCUGGAUCCAAACUUCAGGGCGUUUCACGGCGGUCGACUGGAGGCCGGAGCAGCAGUGAUUCAGCAGUUUGUGGCUGCCGCAGUACGGCAUUAAUGAAAAACUCUGCUCCGACGGGAGACGAGAAGCGCUUCCCCCUGAGUCACGCGCUGCCCGUGCGAUCCCAGUGCUGAUGAAUGUGUGAAAUGAUGGCAAAUAACGGCAUGCAAUAAAUAAAGCUGAUUAAAAAAAAGGGGACACGCUACUUAUCUGAGCAGGUUUAAUAAUUCACUUUAAAAUGAGUUCUUAUGUACAGAUGCUGUUUUCUCAAAGGACCUUCAAUAAAAACACGACAAAAACGAUCAACGUGUCGCACCCACGCGCACGCACGCACACACACACACACACACACACACACACACACACACACACACACACACACAGACACACACA